GGGGUCGAUUGUGUAUCUCAAAACCUAGUGAAAAUGACAAAAAGUAGAGCGCGAUUAAAAUACGUAUUAAAAGAGAGGACAUUACAUUAUACACCAGAAUUUGCUGCUCUAAUUGUAAAUGCAUGUUGUGUUUUACAUAACAUUGCUUAUAAAUGGAGAAUUCCAUUAAAUGAAGUAUAUUUGGAGGAAGAAGGAGAAGUGCCGAUACCAUUUAAUGAUAUAAAUAUAAUGCAAG